GACGAACCGUGCAAACGUUAUUCGGAAUCACUGGGCUUAAAGGGCGCGUAGGCGGCUUAUCAAGUCAGGGGUGAAAUACUUCAGCUUAACUGGAGAAGUGCCCUUGAUACUGGUAAGCUCGAGGGAGGUAGGGGCAUGUGGAACUUCUGGUGGAGCGGUGAAAUGCGUUGAUAUCAGAAGGAACGCCGGUGGCGAAAGCGACGUGCUGGACCUCUUCUGACGCUGAGGCGCGAAAGCUAGGGGAGCAAACGGG
rnacentral:rRNA from 1 species